rnacentral:rRNA from 1 species
AUGCGCGGCCUCCGGGGCCUCCUCGCCGUCUCCGGCCGCCGCGCGGCGGCGAGCGGCGCCUCCUCGUCUCCCCACAGCGUCCUCUUCGCCCGUGCCCUCCAGAUCCUCUCCCAGCCGGAGCCCGUCCGCCUCCACAAGCUCUCGGCGCCCGACUCCGGGAUCGUGGAGCUGAGGCUGGAGCGGCCGGAGGCCAGGAACGCCAUCGGGAAGGAGAUGCUCAAGGGGCUGCGGAGCGCCAUGGACAAGGUGGGGGCCGACCCGACGGCCAACGUCGUGUUGGUCGCGAGCUCCGUGCCCAAGGUUUUCUGCGCGGGCGCUGACCUCAAGGAAAGGAGGUUAAUGGGCCCUUCUGAAGUCCGGGAAUUUGUUAAUACCUUGAGAGCUACAUUCUCAUCCUUUGAGGCACUCCCUAUUCCUACAAUAGCUGUUGUUGAAGGAGCUGCUUUUGGCGGUGGGCUAGAGUUGGCUCUUUCAUGUGAUCUUCGUAUAUGUGGGGAGAGUGCAACAUUCAGCUUGCCAGAAACCGGCCUUGCUAUUAUUCCUGGGUAUGUGUCCAGGAUGGCGCUUUACUUUUCUGGAGGGACACAGCGUCUUCCAAGGAUUGUUGGAAGGGCCAGAGCAAAGGAAUUGAUAUUCACUGGCCGUAGAUUUGAUGCGACAGAAGCUGUAAAUAUGGGGGUAGUGAACUACUGUGUUCCUGGUGGUGAGGCUUAUCAAAAGGCUCUUGAACUUGCCCGGGAGAUAAAUCAGAAAGGUCCGUUAGCGAUAAGGAUGGCCAAGAAGGCCAUCAACGAAGGGAUGGAGGUAGACCUGUCCUCUGCGUUGGCUGUCGAAGAAGAGUGCUACGAGCAAGUUCUGCACACUCGGGAUCGCCUUGAAGGUCUAGCUGCAUUUGCAGAGAAAAGAAGACCUUUGUACACAGGAAAGUGA